rnacentral:rRNA from 1 species
ACUAAAUAGAUACCCAGGUAGUCCAUGCCGUAAACUAUGGAUACUAGCUGUUGGGGGUAUCGACCCCUCCAGUAGCGAAAGCUAAACGCGUUAAGUAUCCCGCCUGUGGAGUACGAUCGCAAGAUUAAAACAUAAAGGAAUUGACGGGGACCCGCACAAGCGGUGGAGCGUGUUCUUUAAAUUCGAUGCUAAACGAAGAACCUUACCAGGGCUUGACAUCCCUUGAAUUACUCCGAAAGGAGUGAGUGCUUUAUUGAGCAAGGUGACAGGUGAUGCAUGGCCGUCGUCAGCUCGUGUCGUGAGAUGUUUGGUUAAGUCCAUCAACGAGCGCAACCCUUAUACUUAGUUGUAUUUUUCUAGGUAGACUG